UUGAAGGGAACUGUUGUUAUAAACUAAAAAAAAUGAUUCUGAACUGCAAUAGUAGUGUAGCACAAAUAUACUGCUUUAUGUAUUCCGGUUGAUCAGUUCAUAUCAACUUGACUUUCCAAUGCUUGAACAAUUGAAUGAAUUUUGCAACUGAAACUAAACACAAACUAACACCAUCAAAACAGAGGCAAUUGACGUGGUGCCACGCAAUGUCUUAUUGACCUUGGCCACCACACCAGCCUAAAUUGUAAAUAGAUGCGCAAGCCAAUCUCCGUACCUAUAAGUAUUCGGUGUAGGAUAGUGCAAAUAAGGGAUAUUAGCCUACAGAAAUAUGGGGUCAUGGCAAGGUUGAUCCCUUUCUUUUUCUAUCAUGUUCGUCUUCCUGCGUCCAAAGAGCAUCCGAACCUUGCUUCAAAGAUAAGGAGCCCCACAAGGGUGACCAAAGCCAAUAUAGCAAUCAAAUGAGUCGAUAUCUCCUUGUAAGCAUUGUGUUUAUGUUGGUUAUAUCCUGCAUUUGACAUGAAACAGAUGGUGUCAAAUUGAGUUGAUCCACCGGCAAAUAAAAUCAAGGCAUAAAGAAGUUGAUUCCAGCUUGGGCAUAUGCUCACAACAAUCAAUAGAUAGUACGAGCGGGGGGUGGGGGUGUAAUUAGAUUAGUCUGACCUUGGAUGCGCCAAAAUCCUUCACGGCCAGCACCAUUGAGCUAGCAUCUUCUCUCCCUGUCACCUCCAUCGGAUAAUAUCAUCAAAAACAAAACACCACUGAUUCCAACAUUCCGAAAAUCCUCAAGACUCAUGGAGUUUCUCCUGGCCAAUCAAAACCAGAGAAUUCACCCUUUGCUAAGGGGGGGAGUAUUAUACCUGAAACUCGCAGGUAACAGUAAAUAGGCCGGUGAGGGAACUAACCAACAAGAUAAAUGCACUACCCAUUCAAUUUGAUCAUAUCUUCUUGUGCUUUCCUCCGAAAGGCAACACAAUUUUUUCAAAGAGAUAGCCUGAAGCAACAUCUUGUUUUGUUCAUAUCAGAAAGUCAGUAUAAAGUAUUACAUACCUUUAGCAAGAGGGCUUCGGCAACNNN
rnacentral:lncRNA from 1 species